rnacentral:tRNA from 5 species
GCGGGCGUAGUUCAAUGGUAGAACGUCAGCCCUCCAAGCUGAUCGCGUGAGUUCGAUUCUCAUCGCCCGCU